UACGAAGGGGGGCUAGCGUUGCUCGGAAUCACUGGGCGUAAAGCGCACGUAGGCGGCUUUUCUAAGUCAGGGGGUGAAAAUCCUGGAGCUCAACUCCAGAACUGCCUUUGAUACUGGAGAGCUCGAGUCCGGAAGAGGUGAGUGGAACUCCGAGUGUAGAGGUGAAAAUUCGUAGAUAUUCGGAAGAACACCAGUGGCGAAGGCGGCUCACUGGUCCGGUACUGACGCUGAUGUGCGAAAAGCGUGGGGGAGCAAACAGG
rnacentral:rRNA from 1 species